rfam:Candidatus Taylorbacteria bacterium RIFCSPHIGHO2_02_FTLL_45_35 rifcsphigho2_02_scaffold_18442, whole genome shotgun sequence.
GGGCGGUUAGCUCACUUGGUAGAGCGCAUCGUUGACGUCGAUGAGGCAACAGGUUCGAUCCCUGUACCGCCCA